UACGUAGGGGGCUAGCGUUGUCCGGAAUCAUUGGGCGUAAAGCGCGUGUAGGCGGUCCGGUAAGUCCGCUGUGAAAGUCGAGGGCUCAACCUCGAAUGCCGGUGGAUACUGUCGGGCUUGAGUACGGGAGAGGCGAGUGGAAUUCCUGGUGUAGCGGUGAAAUGCGCAGAUAUCAGGAGGAACACCGAUUGCGAAGGCAGCUCGCUGGGACGGUACUGACGCUGAGGUGCGAAAGCGUGGGGGAGCAAACAGG
rnacentral:rRNA from 1 species